rnacentral:misc_RNA from 1 species
GUUCCUCUAUACUCGUAGGAACCUUUAUAAUAACGUUGGAGUUGUUGCACUGCGUUAUAUCAAGAUAUACGAGUGAAGGGAGCCCAGGAAUUUCAGCCGAUAUAGUAUUAAGUGGGUUAUCACGCAGAACUAAAUGUCUCAAAGACGGCAAAUGAAGAUCCGUGGUAAAUUUACCAUCUGAUAAAUUGCAGUUUGGAAGGAUUAAAUGGGUCAAAGAACGUGGAAGAAAAGCAGAUGAAAA